UACGUAGGGGGCAAGCGUUAUCCGGAUUCACUGGGUGUAAAGGGAGCGUAGACGGCGACGCAAGUCUGGAGUGAAAGCCCGGGGCCCAACCCCGGGGCUGCUCUGGAAACUAUGUUACUAGAGUGCAGGAGAGGUAAGCGGAAUUCCUAGUGUAGCGGUGAAAUGCGUAGAUAUUAGGAGGAACACCAGUGGCGAAGGCGGCUUACUGGACUGUAACUGACGUUGAGGCUCGAAAGCGUGGGGAGCAAACAGG
rnacentral:rRNA from 1 species